GUUGAGAAGCUAUGAAUCAGCGUUAGCCUUUUAAGCUAAAGAAAGAGGAAUCACCUCCCUCCUCAACGA
rnacentral:tRNA from 1 species